GAGGAGCCGCCGCCUCAUUCUGCGGCACCGGCCGGCGGCGUGAGGAGCGCGGCGAGCGCAGCGUGAGGUUCCUGGUGAAGGCUGCGAUCGCUGUUGUAAGGCAGCGCAGGGGUGCGGGUCCCCGGCGGCCGCGGACAUCCGUGUGCUCGCCGUGGCGCGGUGGACGGAGUUAGCUUCUCUCCUUAAUGUGUUGAGAGGGUUUUCCCAGACUGGGAUACAGUGGGAACGUUCGGCCGACUGCUUCCAGGGACGGCAGGGGUAAUUCAGAACAUGAAGAAUGGGGAGUGCAUAUGUACGCAAAAGCCAGUGUUCCCCCCGAGCUUGUACUCUGAAACUUAAUUAUUCGGUGAACCCCCUGUUCUGAACACCAGCAAGCUUUGCGUUUUCCAGGAAGCCCUGAAUUUUCUGGUUUAUCAUGUUUUCAGGAAAGGGUUAACUUGAGGGCUCUGCUUACUUCGUGGUUUAGGUCUUAUUUUGAUGCAAACGGUUAAUUUAGUAAAAACAGUGGCAUGGUCCUCCAGGUACUGUAAACUGGGCAUAAACCAGUUUCAUUGUAUGAAAAAGUUCAAGAUCACUUUUAAGUUCUAUGAGAUAUUCUUCCAAAUACUAGCGUUUCUUUUUGUUUGUUUUGUUUUUUGUUUGGGGUGCGUAUGUUUGUAUGUAUUUCUUUACAACCUGUAUGAGGUAACUAAGCUGAGCAUGGAAAUUACAUUGCUGCAAAACUGUGUUCAUUUUUGUUUUUUCAGAUGGAAGAUCAAAUGAAAUUAGUUUUUGUAUUUACCAAAUAAUGAAGUGCAGGUGUAUUUUGUGUUGCUGCUUCAGAAGUCACCUUGCUCUGUCAAGGUUAUGAUGUGUCCACUAAGCAAUAAGGAUAACUUAAAAAUCUGUAAAGCCCAUAUCUGUCUCUGAGAGUUUUAAAUGUUCUGUGGGGUUAAAGUGAGUUGGGACUGUGAUUUUUUUUUUUUUUUUAACUUCCUUCCUGAAAUUUAUUAAAGAGAAAAAUUGCAAAUAACUCUGAGUAUCUUAACACACCUUUUACAAAGGAGAAUGCUUUAGAGUGGUUGUAUAGAAAAAGAAGUGAGCUGAAACAUUGUGGUAAUGGGAUUUGCAGCAUAAAAUAUGGCUAAUUUCUCUUGUAUGACUACAGGUGGCAGUGUAGAAGCCAAGAACAAAAUUUGGCAGAAAUUGUUCUGUGUGCAAGAAAAUGAAGAGUGUACUCAUGACUAAGCACAGCAACCUGGAAAACCACAGGAUUGCUGUGAGGCCAUGGAGGACGAGAUGAACUCGGAGCUGGAGCUUGAGGAUUUUUUUGGAAGUGAUGAGUGGGAAGUUAUACUGGCUUCAGUCAGGUGAUCGCUGAUGACUAGUCAGUCCACCAAGAAGGGACUUCAGCACGCAGGUAAGAGAGAAGCUGCAUAUUCUUACAUGAAGCUGGGGGGUGCAAGGGGGGAGGUAAACAGCUCUAGCAUUGUUUGAAUAGUUUUAAAAAAAAAAGCCUGACUUGCUUGGGUGUGUAGCCCUGUGAUUGUCUCUAAUGCAUCUACUGCUGCUGUUCAGUCUUGUUCUUGCAUUUUUUUUACUCUUUUUUUUUAAAUCUGUCUUUAAUUAGACAC